rnacentral:rRNA from 1 species
GUCGUCAGCUCGUGUCGUGAGAUGUUGGGUUAAGUCCCGCAACGAGCGCAAACCCCUACGUUUAGUUGCUAACAGGUGAAGCUGAGCACUCUAGACGAACUGCCGUUGACAAAACGGAGGAAGGUCGGGGAUGACGUCAAAUCAUCAUGCCCCUUAUGUUCUGGGCUACACACGUGCUACAAUGGCCGGUACAGACGGAGGCGAAGCCGCGAGGCGGAGCAAAUCCGAAAAAGCCGGUCUCAGUUCGGAUUGCAGGCUGCAAUUCGCCUGCAUGAAGUCGGAAUCGCUAGUAAUCGCAGGUCAGCAUACUGCGGUGAAUACGUUCCCGGGGCUU